GACGAACGCUGGCGGCGUGCUUAACACAUGCAAGUGGAGCGACGAACCAGGGCUUGCCCUGGGGCAGAGCCGCGAACGGGUGAGUAACACGUGGGUAACGUGCCCCGAUGACUGGGACAACCCGGGGAAACCCGGGCUAAUACCGGAUACGCCCCCUCACGCGAGUGAGGUGUGCAAAGGAAGCUUCGGCCUCCGCAUCGGGGAGCGGCCCGCGGCGCAUUAGCUUGUUGGUGGGGUAACGCCUACCAAGGCAGCGAUGCGUAGCUGGUCUGAGAGGACGAUCAGCCACACUGGGACUGAGACACGGCCCAGACUCCUACGGGAGGGCAGCAGUGGGGAAUCUUGCGCAAUGCGCGAAAGCGUGACGCAGCAACGCCGCGUGGGGGAAGAAGGCCUCGGUU
rnacentral:rRNA from 1 species